rnacentral:lncRNA from 1 species
GGAUGAGACCUAUAAUGAGCAGCAGCUGGGAAGAAAGCAACAAUGUUGCACCUGGCAUUCACUGACUGAGGCUGGAAGUACACAGUAAAAGAAAAGAAUAAACCAACCACAUAUAAUAAGCACAGAAGAGAGCAUGAAAUGUCAAUAUGGUGAAAGCCGACAGGCAUCUAAAGAGAGAUACUUUGUAUGUUGUUUUUUAUUUGUUUGAUGUUUUUACAUACAUGGAUUGAUCUUACCUCAGACUGUAAAUGUCAUUUUGAAAGGUUGGAGUAGUAAAGAACAAGUUUGCUAGAGCAUAAAGUUCAGAGGAUAAAGCGGGAACCAAUUGACAAUAUAACAAGGUCCCCCACGCUGCCCUUGAUUUCCAUUCUCUUCACACUGUUCACAUGGGACAGACCAGGUUGGCUUCUGAUUGUUCAUGCAGACAUCUCUUUCCAGUUGGUUCCGUUGCUGAUUUUGCAGAUCAGUAGCUGUGCUCUGAAUUCUCUAGGGAUCAGGACUCCAAAGAGAUCUCCUGUGGCAUUUGUCUGGGAACCAAGAAUAAAUAUUUGAAAACGAAUUACUAAGCAUUCCCCAGAUGUGUUUACUGGUAAGGAACUAGAUACAAGAGUGAGGGAAUGGAUUCUUUUCUAGGUAAACCAGUACAGUGUUCACAACAAACACACAAAUAACAAAAAACAAAGUAACAAACAUUUGAAGCAAAGAUGUAAGAAAAAAAAUGAGACAACCUCAAUGGGAAGUCUAUCAUGAUUCUGUUACAUCUGUCCUGAAGCAUUAACACUGUGUUGAUGGAGUCCAGGUUCAAAAAGAAUUGUGCCUAUUCAAUAGCUGAAUAAUGGAAGCUAUGUAGCAGUUAAGUACCAUUUUGUCUAAAUUCCUUUGAGAUUGAGUUUGUAUCUGACUUCAUCCAUGUCAGUGUUUUUAAUCUUUGCAACAACCCAUUUCAUCUUCAUUUUACUGAUGAGAAAUUGAGGCUUUAAAUGACUUGUUCAAAGGCACUAAGGGAAGAGGGAGAAGCUGUGGGUAUGACCCUGGUAUUAUCUGACUCUAACUGCCUCAGUGAUAUAAUAACAUCCCUAAAGGAGAAAACCAGAAAGCACAACCCUUAUUCUUCUGUAAAAACCACAUCA